UUACAGGGAACGAUCAAAUGGACCAUUGUGAUCCAGAUAGCAUGAAACAGGUUUCCAAUCAGAAGGGUCGUAACCCGGCCGACCGCUACAGUCUGAGCCUGGACGACGUGCGACUGUAUUCCCCCCUUCUCCCUCUGGGAACGGCAUCGGUUCCAGACACAUCCGUCAGCUACACGUUUGGGCUUCCGCACUCCUCAACGAGUCCAUGUCCAGACAGUACUUCAUUCUGUGUCCAGCGCUCCACGAACUGCCUAUCUCUGGACCUGCUGGAUGAUAACCAGUUGCUGGAGCUUGUCCUUUAAGAAACUGAGAAGACUGCAGCUUCCUGUUGUCUUGUCAUUAAACCGGACAGAAAAAAAAAGACAAAACUGAGGCAUGAACAGGACACAUUUUUAGCAGGAAUUUCAUUAAAACUCAACCAAUGUGUUUCUUCAGGAGAGUAUGAACAAAUGUUUUCAAAAAAUUUUUUUUUACCAAUCUUCGGUAGAAUGUAGAAUUUUGUGUUGAACAUUCUACAGAACGUGUUAAUGAGUAACCUUAAGUGAAGCAAGGUAUUACUACACUAACAUUGGUCCUUGAUAAAAUGACUUUAUAAAACCUUCUCUUCCAAGUAAAUUCCACAAUAAGCAACAGGAGUCAUCGCCCACAGUGAACCUUCAUUGGUCCAAAUCCUGUUCUGCUUGGCAGAACUGUAUAUUAAACUACAAAACUAAACACUUUCACAUUCAGGACAGACAAAUUACUUGUUGGUUCACAUCUUCUUAGGACAUGUUGUAACAUGUUAUGCUACAAAUAUUGUUUAGGGAAAGAAACUUUGGACCUCUGAAUUUCACAUUUGCUCUAAGAUGGCUUGAGAAUGUCAAAAUUGGAGGAACAUUCUCUGAAUUACAUUAUGAAAACAGAUAGACACUACCAGAAAAUCCACUGAGUGCCCAAAAACAAGUCCUGUACUCAUGCAAUAAAAUGCCAUGCAAGACUUUUAACUUGGGACUGAGUUUGUCUGGCUAAUCAAUAUCAGUGUGCUUAAUCAAUAUCAAAUACGAUACAAUAAUUCACAUUCUCUGUCUUUUUCGGUCAUGAUAAGGCACUGAACCUGCACCACCUGUUCUCCUGUUUCACAUAAUAAUUGUGUACAGACAAUACUCAUGUUCCCAACUUACAAAGCAUGUGUGAACCCGCUUAAACCAGCAAUUGGAACCAAGUUAAAAGGUCAAACCAAAAUAUUCCAUGUCUGUUUUCUAUUAGAGCUAACCACUGGUUUAAUAUAAUGUCACAUAGAUCUUUACUACACAAGUCAUGUUGAACUGAGUUGAACUUUUAAGAACAAGAACAAAGACAGACAGGUUCGCUGUAUAUAGAGCCGUGUUUGUUUUGUUCUGAAUACAUGGAGCUCUUUUGUUUUCGAUAAUUACAAAACUCACAUCAAGCCCUCAGAGGUUGUGUAUAUAAUGGUGGGUGUCAUUUCUUCAUCGAUGUAUUGUAAACACACAUAUUAAAAGCAUACUCAUAUACAGUGUUGGGGAAAGUUACUUUUAAAAGUAAUGCAUUGCAAUGUUGCGUU